UACGUAGGGUGCAAGCGUUAAUCGGAAUUACUGGGCGUAAAGCGUGCGCAGGCGGUUUUGCAAGACAGAUGUGAAAUCCCCGGGCUCAACCUGGGAACUGCAUUUGUGACUGCACGGCUAGAGUGUGUCAGAGGGGGGUAGAAUUCCUGGUGUAGCAGUGAAAUGCGUAGAUAUCAGGAGGAAUACCGAUGGCGAAGGCAGCCCCCUGGGUCGAUACUGACGCUCAUGCACGAAAGCGUGGGGAGCAAACAGG
rnacentral:rRNA from 1 species